ACAAAAAAUUACCAGCAGACACUGGCUCUGGAUUUUGUUGAGAUGAUCAAGAGAAAGCCUGAUCAGAUGUCUCAUAUUGCUUUAGGAUCCCUUAUCUAAGGAAACCCUUGGUGAGCUCCUGCAUAUGGCUGUCUGAAGAAGGUCACAGCAUCCAUAAGUAUACCUAUGAAAGGAAUGGAAAGUUCCUCACAUGUUCUCACCAAGAACAGUGAUGCCAAUUCGGUCCAUCUGGUGUGUAAAGCUGCAGAGUGGUACCCAGAGCCUGAGGCAAGCUGGAAACCUCCAAGGGCAUAAUUUAAAGCCACCCUCUGAAAAUGACGGAACAAAUGGGAAAGGCCUAUUCUCUAGUGGAACUUCAGUCCUGGUAAUUGAACUCAAAAAUUGUGCUCUGUUCCAUUCUCAACUCCAGGCUCAACCAGAAAAAGUGGACAACGAUUUCUGUUUCAGGGGAAGGAGUUUAUUACCAAUGGAGCUGCGCUGCAAAUGUUAAAAGAGGUCCCAUAACCACGAGGAAACUAUAGCAGAUGGACAUCUGGAAAAUGGUGUUCUAAGCUUCUAUUUUACAUGUAACUUUGGAUACCUCAGCUCUCUCUGAUUAUUAACAUCUGUUUUAGUCACAUUCAUCCUGCAACAGAAUAAAACCAGACCAUCUCAAAGGGCAGAGCCACCUCCUACCCUUUCCCACAAAGUGUAGAGAUCGCUUUGGAUUUACAGGAAUUCAUAGCCUUUGCCAAAAAACCUGCCUUUUUUCACAAUGGAUCGCCUAUUUCCUCUACGAGUUUGGUAUCUGUGCUGCGGAACUUUCCUGGCUCACGGUUCCUUGGAAUUUCCUGCGUGAUAAGAGCACUGGAGCAUCUUUUGUCAUCAUAUUUGGUCUCUUGGCCUCAGUUCCUGAAAUUGCUUCAGAGCCGUAGAGGUAACAAACCAGCAUCGCGUACUUCCUGUGAGCCAGGCUCUCUGUAAAUAUUUUAGACGUGGAGUCUUGCUUAAUCCCAGCGGCACCACAGAGACAAGUAUGAUCUCCCCUUUUACAAACGAGGGCGGCAAGACACUGAGACAGCUCUUUUCAACAAACAGAACAUGCUGGUGGAGCCAGAUGGAAUUCAGUCUGCUUGACUGGAAGUUUGUACAUGCAAACAAUUCACUGUAUAAUGAUGAGGAAAUUGAGACUCAAAGAGUUUGUUAACUUGGCCACAGUCGGAAAACGAAUGCAUAGCGAAGCCAAGAUUCUUCAGGCCCUUGCUCCUGGAAAAGGAGGGAGGGAGGACAGUGGCCACGAUGUAAUGCAAAGUGUGAAUUUCCCCACCCAGGAAAGAUGGUGGGCUGAGGUAAGUCAUGACAGCCAUCUUUGCAAUGCUCAGAAGUUGUCCUGAGGAAAAGGAAGUUGAUCUCUUCAGGGUGGCCCCAAGAGGGCAGAGCUGUCAUCCCAAGGCCUGACUUCCCUCUUACUGAAGGAAGAAUUUUAACUCAACAGCUGACAAGGAGUGGUUUCAGCAAGAAGUGGACUCCUUUCCACUGAAAUGUGUUUCUCCACUUUUAACCUGCUCACUGAUCACCCAGGGAGCUUAUUUUUACAAAACACAUACUCAAGACCUUUUUCCAGGGAUUCUCAGUAAGUGUGGAGCAGGACCCUGGGUGAACCUGUCCCAGGAGGUCAACACUAGGAUACUGAAGAGGCAACACGUGGCAACCCUACUAUUAAAGAGGGGAUUCCUUCAUUAUAGAGGAGGUUGGACUGGAUGAUCCCUAAGUUACCUUCAGAGUCACUGAAACCAGAACCGUGAAAAUAAAAUGCUGAGCUGCUAGGAACUAGGAUUGGCUGGAAACUUCUGUGAGCUAAGGGCUCCACUUGAUAAAAAUAGCUGUAUCGCCA